AGGGUGUGUAAAAGACUUACCUCCACGUGGUGCACCCUGGGCAAUGUAUACUCAUACGGCAAAAAAGUCUAU
rnacentral:ribozyme from 1 species